rnacentral:sRNA from 1 species
UGUGGGCAUGUGAGCCUGUGCUCUUAGGUGUGUCAGCAGAACAGGGAGAAUAGUUCUCUCUGGUCAGGAUUGGAUGUGGAGAGUUGUGUCAGAGGGUUAAUCCUGGUGUACUGAUGGAAAACCAGAAAUAUCCUGUCCCUAGCUGUUUCGCAGUUCCUAAGCCCUUUGGACUCUUGGUGGGUUCCCCUUCGGAUAGUUGUUGGAGCAAAAGUGAUGGUCUCUCCUGUGAACUUAGGAGUAACAGCACUCCUGGAAGAUUAGCUCUCUCCAGGCAGGAUUUAUGUACAGAAUGCUGUGCCACAGGAUGAACUCUGUAGUACAGAUGGAGACCAGAAGGGUCCUAUCCACAGUAGCUCAUGGUUCUUGUGCACUGUUGUCUUCUAGUGGGUCCCCCUUUGGCCAUAUUGGAGCAAAAUUGGUGGUCUCACCUCUGAAAUUAGGAGUGACAGUGCUCCUGGGAGUCCAGCUUUCUCUGAACAGGAUUUGGGUAAGAAGGUCUGUGGGACAGCCUUAGCUCUGGGGUGCAGAUGGAGACCAGAAGGCUCCUGCCCCUGGCUACUCCAUACUUCCUGUCCAAACUUCUAUUCUAUUUGGCUUUGAAUGAAUAUUGCAAAAUUUUGUCUUCAUGCACAAGUCAUAAAAUAAAUGUAUGAAAGAUACUGUGAUCUAUAAUAUGAAAACACUUAUUUUAAAGAUGAUAAAAAUCAUAGACUAAGAAGUUUAAUUUUUAAAGUGAAGAAUUUGGUCCUUCCAUAUAAAAUAUUCAUAUAAUAGCCAUAUAUGUGACCUUGAUGGAGAAGCAAAUGUGAAUAAUAGUUAAUCAAUUUUUAUUUUGAUUGAAUUUUAAAAACACUUCAUUCUGAACAUUAGCAUCCCUUAGCCCCCAAAACCUACUAUCUCAGUCUUCCUGAGUCAAGAAAACAUGUUCGUUUUGCAAUGGAGAUUUACUUGUUCAUAUAUAAUUUUUAAAAGUCAUUGUUGCAAGAGAUUGACUCUUGGGUACUGUCAUCCUACCAUUCAGCUCUAGUCCAUAAUACUUUAAAUGGCAGAGAAGCCACUCAUCUAUUUCUAGCCCACUGGCUAUUCUACAUGGACUCACAGCAGCUGUCAGUACCAUCUGCACUUCAUGCUAAAUGCAAUGGCCGAUGCAAGGCACACAAGUUCCUGUUUUGCAUUACACAAAGCACAGAAAAAAAAGACAAAGACAACUGAGUCAGACCAAAUAUAUAUGAGUCUGAAGCCCCUCAUUUGUUUCACAGAUGUCAGCAUUGAGCUUAGCAGUAUAAUACUCCAUCCCCUGUUCUCUUGAAUCCCAGAGCUCAUCUCUGUAUUGUUUUUCUUCUUGCACCUAAAGGAAAAUUCCCCAAGUUCUUGCUGGAUUUAGCCAUGCAUCUUGGAUUGCAAAAUAUUAAAUGUUGUGAAAUUAAAUGAGGAAAGAAAGAAAAAAAAGAAAAAUACCAACCAACCUUUUUUAUUGCCUAGCCUGCAUACUUAGGAUUGUAAUGAACUACAUGACUGUGUCAUAUAGACAUGGAUUUUUUUGUUGCCUUCUGACAUAAUGCCUAUGGUGCUUGGCUCUCUGCAUGUGCCCUGCCUUCCUCCUUGGAUAGGAACCAUGGUGUUGAUGACACAUCCUUGUUUCUCUAUGGUGCUUUGUCCCUUUCAGAGCCUUUCACAGGCUGCAUCUUGUUUGCCACUCAUGGAAACCCAAGGAAGGACAAGAAAGAGCAGAGAAUGCCACUUACCAAUCCCCACCUCUCCUCAUCACUUAGUACAAUAUUGAUUAUGGGCUUUAGAGAGCAUCUCAUGUAGACCAGGCUGCCCUUAAAUUUUAUAUGUAGUUAAGGAUAUCACUUUUGACUUCCUGAUUCUCCUGCUUUCAUCGUCCAAGAGCUGUGGUUAUAGGCAUAUGACACUAUACCAGCAAAACGAUUUGCUUAAAUUCAGAUGAAGUGGAGAGCUCUCAGCUCCUCCUGCACCAAACCUGCCUGGAUGCUGCCAUGUCCUCACCUUGAUGAUAAUGGAC